rnacentral:misc_RNA from 1 species
GAAAUGCGAUAAGUAAUGUGAAUUGCAGAAUUCAGUGAAUCAUCGAAUCUUUGAACGCACAUUGCGCCCGCCAGUAUUCUGGCGGGCAUGCCUGUUCGAGCGUCAUUUCAACCCUCAAGCCCCCGGGCUUGGUGUUGGGGAUCGGCCACCGCGGGCUCCCGCGGGCCGUCCCCCAAAUGCAGUGGCGGUCACGCCGCAGCGUCCUCUGCGUAGUAGCACACCUCGCAGGCGGAUCGCGGCGCGGCCACGCCGUAAAACCCCAUCUCCUGAAAUGUUGACCUCGGAUCAGGUAGGAAUACCCGCUGAACUUAA